GCGGACGUGGUGGAAUGGUAGACACGCAAGGCUUAGAACCUUGUGGUAUAAGAAUACCAUGGGGGUUCAAAUCCCUCCGUCCGCA
rnacentral:tRNA from 1 species